rnacentral:lncRNA from 1 species
UCCAUGAUAUAAACAAAGAUAGAUAUAAUAACCCCAAAAUAUGAAAGUCAAAAUAAGCACAAAAACUAAAGAAAGGAUAGAGUAAAAAUACAAAAGUAAAUGAUAUAUAGACACAGACAUGAAAAUCAAAAGAAACUAAAGGAUAUAUUAAAUCUAAUAACCUCAAAAGAUUAAUCCAAAGGAAGGAUCUAACUCUUAUGAACAACCAUGAGGGAAUCGUAGUGCCCUCGCAACCCCCAUUUCU